GCUUGCCUUUUGGGUAAAGCAGUUACUUGCAAGUACCUCAGACGAGAUAAUUUUCUGGAAAUUGAUGUGGAUAUUGGAUCGUCAACAGUAGCCAGGAGUGUUAUUGGCCUUGUCCUUGGAUAUGUCACAAGCUUAGUCGUUGAUCUCGCCAUCCUAAUAGAGGCAAAGGAAGAGGAAGAGUUGCCCGAGUAUGUUCUUGGAACCGUUCGCCUAAACCGUGUGAGACUCGAUUCAGCAGUAGAAUUAGAAAA